UCACCCCCAUCUUAAUACAUGUUUUUUAAUGCCAGAGCUGCCCCUCCAGUCGAGGCCCGAGUCACGUCACCGCUGUCCCACAGUCCUUUCCAGGAAGAUGGAGACAUUCCCCUCCCUGAUCCCAAACCAGAGGGAUCCAAGCACUGAGGCGGUGACGGCGCUGGGUGCCAGCAGAGAGGCGGGAGGUGUACCGGCACUGCGAGUGGUUCAUACGGCUCGGAGGCUGACAGCAGCUUGGGGCAGCGCCUGUUUGCUGUGGUACAACUGGCGAGCGAUAGUCACAUCUAGGACCAUCAGACGGGGAGUCCCCAGCCCCUCUUCUGCCAGGGUGGUGGAUGCGGAGGGGAGCCAGGAGGGACGGGCAUGGGCUCUGGAUGCAUUUUAGGGGGCCGUCUGCCUACACUUGCCCAUGAAUGAGCAAAACGCAUAAGGACGAGCUCCUCAGAGGACCCUGGUCCCUGCCAGCAGCUCUGCCCAUCCCGAAGAGGUGGUGGCUGUGUGUGCCUUUGGGUGGGGACCCUGCACCCACCGCGGCUGCUUCCCUGUGGCUUUGCAAAGGCAUUUCAAUGAGCCUGGAGUCACCGCAGGCACGCAGAAACGGAGGAUUUGGGAGCGCAAACCCCCCUGCCUGGGAUGAGGCUCAUGGCAGACCUGCAAACGCUGGGGGUCAGGCACUACCAGUCCACAUAAGCAGCAUCUCCCACCCACUCCACCAAAGCACGAAUGACUCCGCAGCACGCGGAGCACACGACGAUCAACUCCUCAAUCUGUUCUUCCCCCCCCCCCCCCCCCCCCCCCCCUGUGAUCACUCAAGCUUUAACCCAGCCUCGGUGAAUGUGAUUCAUCUUGGCUGCUGUUAAGGCAGAAUGGGAAGGUUACAACGCUGCUCUCCACUGCGUCGACAUGAUAUACCCUGCCCAUGAAAUAAUCUGCGGCUGGCGUUACGAGGCCAUAUAUCCCCUUGAAUUGCAACACCCUAAAUGCGACAAGUAGCCACUUAAUCGAUACGAGUUCAUUCUCUGUUUUCCUUCUUUACGGAAAAUUGGGCAGACUCCCAGCCUGUUUCCAUAGGAACGGGCUGGGAGACUGGGAGAACCGCCGGCUGCUGAAGGUCCGGCGUUAACGCAGCCACGGCAUCUGCUUCGCACUGGCAGAAGCUCCAGCGGCCUCCCAACAUCACAGCUACGUGAAGCCGAGUCAAUUUGUGCUGGAGACAAGGAGCUGCCAGCUGAUAACCAGUUAACAUGCAGGUACCCGCAUUAGCCCCACAGAAUUUAGAGGAGGAUGGAGAGGGCUCCUUUGCUCACCCGGCACCAGCAUCCCGGGAUGCCGGGGCUCGUCCUGCCCCCCCUGCUUCCCUGGGGGCUCCCCCAAACCCAACUCUUCCCCGGGGCUGAGCAAAGGCUUCCCCGCGCGAUGGCAGCAUUUGCUAAAUCUCCAGCACUAGCUGGAGAUGCCUCAGGUGUCUGCUUUGUUUUCCUUCCCUCUUAUGAAAUGAAAUGAGAGGAAAUAAAUUGUAGCACA